rnacentral:lncRNA from 1 species
AAUAACAUUCCUCUCAGAGGAGUUCCCAGAAUGAUAUUCCUCGAUGAAAAAAAAAAAAACAAAAACCAACAAAACAGCUGUAACAGUAGGGUCUUAGCAGGAAUCAGUACAAAUGUUGUGCUUAGUAGUCUGCAAAGGAAACACGUGGCACACAGAGCAAACUGUAUUUGCUUCCCAGCAUCAAAUAGGAGCAGAAUUAAUUUGUAAUGUAAACCUGACUUUAAUUUGUAUAAAUUGCAUGCUGUACAUAGUCAUAUUCAGGAAUAUAAAAUAAAAUAUUAUGCAAAAAUACUGUCAUAAUUUUUUAUUUGGCAUAAGAAACAGCUAUGCACAGAGCAAACAGCAAUUAGAAGUAGAAAUGAGAAGACGUCCUCUAUUCCUCAAACUGCCCGUCCUUAUCCUGCUCCCUUCCCAGAUGCUCAGAACUGGCUUCUGGACUACAGUAAGAUAAUUAAACAGUAAAAUAAACAACUAUGACUGGGCUCAUUUGCUGCCUGAUUCUGGAGCUCCAGUCUUCUGUGAAAUGUGAGCGGAGCCUCCAGAUGUUCCUGGGGAGCUGCACUGACUCGUCAGGAGUGUGUCUCCUCCCAUGACUCUGGGAAGGUGCUGCAGUGCAAAGUUCAGUAAAUGCUACUCCUUGGCAGGGGGGAGACUGCUCUCAACACCAUGUGGCCCAGAAGGCUGAACAGAAAGAAAAAAAGAAUUAUUUUAAUAACAUCUUAGGCCUCAGAUGGAAGCUGUCUUUGGAUAAAGGUGAUAAGUUCAAGGAUGUUUCAUGGGAUAUUCCUCAACAUGAAUCUCUGCCUAUGCAGAAAUCUAGAAACUUGAUCCUAACUUCUAAGAGCAAGACAAGGGGGGGAAAUUUCUACUGUGAUGAAAAAAGUACCUACAACAUCACCCAAGGAGCAUCGUCAGAAAUAGCAGCUGUUGGGUUAGAGUCACAAACAGCCAUGAUCUGUCUUGCCUUCAAAUGGAUGGUGUUGCAUGUGAGCAAAUCAUUGUGAUGCUGGUAUGGGUGCGGAGCUGUUUCACAUUGCCUGGUUCCUUAAUCCAUGUGAUUACAUCUUUGCAAGAUCAAGUGUUUGUUGUGUCUAUACAAGGGCUGUUGUUAUUUGCAGUGAUGCUUUGUAGUUAGCAGUUUAUAGACUGCCUUGCAGUGAAUACUGUAUGUAUACAUAUACUUGCAAAUUCAUUGGCUGUUAAAAGAAGAACCCGUAUUUAAAACAAUAAUUAAAGUUCUGGGUUUUUGUUUGGUUGGUUUGUUGUUGUUGUUGUUGUUGUUUUUGCAUGGCAAUCUUUCAUUUUUCUCUGGAGAGAAAAAUAAGGGACUCUGAAUUAUAUUUCAGCUUGUCAAAUAAUCAGUGUGCUACUUUCAUUUUUUAUCAUACUUUGCCGAUAUGAGACAAAGUCCUU